GACAGGGUGGCCGAGCGGUCCAAGGCACUGCGUUAAGGUCGCAGUCUCCCCGUAGGCGUGGGUUCGAAUCCCACCCCUGACA